rnacentral:rRNA from 1 species
UGCAACCCGACUACAUGAAGCUGAAUCGCUAGUAAUCGCGGAUCAGAAUGCCGCGGUGAAUACGUUCCCGGGUCUUGUACACACCGCCCGUCACACCAUGGGAGUCGGAAAUGCCCGAAGUCGGUGACCUAACCAAUAAGGGAGGAGCCGCCGAAGGCAGGUCCGGUGACUGGGGUGAAGUCGUAACAAGGUAAC